UAUAAUAAUAAUAAUAAAAUGAAUUUGAAAUAGGAUCAGAAAUCAGUAGUAAUGAGUUUAUAAGUGAAAUUAGUAAUGAUAAUAAUAAUAAUAAUAAUCUUUAUUAAUAUGUUAGUGACAUUGAAGUCGAGCAUCAGAGAUUGCUACAUCAAUGUCACAGUCACUGGGCCUAUAUAUUGAUCUCCUUGUACCCCUUACACACCGAAUUGUUGAUCUUAAAAUUGAAAAUGAUAAUUUGCAUCUGAUGAAAUUGAUUACUGAACUGUACGGUUUGUUAAGUUUGUCAGCUGUCAGUAAUGCAAUUCGUCUAAAAACUACAUCACAUACAGGAGCCAGCCCGCCAUUGGUGGAAAAAACAAGAGCUUCCACUUUCCUAUAUACAGCUGGUAAAUCGAGGCCCUUGUAUGAAUCAGAGAAAGGAUUUACAACAGCCACAUCAAAAAAGGCUCUCUGAUGGGAAGUUCCC
rnacentral:lncRNA from 1 species